AGAGUUUGAUCCUGGCUCAGGACAAACGCUGGCGGCGUGCGUAACACAUGCAAGUCGGACGAGGUGAUCGGACUCGUAAGAGGCCGAUGAUCGAGUGGCGGACGGGUGAGUAACACGUGGAUAACCUGCCCUGGUGUGGGGGAUACCCUGUAGAAAUACGGGCUAAGACCGCAUAUGGUCACGGCAAGGGAGCUUGCGGU
rnacentral:rRNA from 1 species